rnacentral:rRNA from 1 species
GCCCGCUCAGAAACUCAAAGGAAUUGACGGGGGCCCGCACAAGCGGUGGAGUAUGUGGUUUAAUUCGAUGCAACGCGAAGAACCUUACCUGGUCUUGACAUCCCGGAGACCCUUAGGAAACUAGGGGUGCUUCCAUCUGGAAGAAUCUGGAGACAGGUGCUGCAUGGCUGUCGUCAGCUCGUGUCGUGAGAUGUUGGGUUAAGUCCCGCAACGAGCGCAACCCUUGCCUUUAGUUGCCAGCAGUUCGGCUGGGCACUCUAAAGGGACUGCCGGUGUUAAACCGGAGGAAGGUGGGGAUGACGUCAAGUCCUCAUGGCCUUUAUGACCAGGGCUACACACGUACUACAAUGGCCGAUACAAAGGGCAGCGACACUGCGAGGUGAAGCCAAUCCCGUAAAAUCGGUCUCAGUCCGGAUUGGAGUCUGCAACUCGACUCCAUGAAGUUGGAAUCGCUAGUAAUCGUGGAUCAGCAUGCCACGGUGAAUACGUUCCCGGGCCUU